AGAAACUAAAAAUGGAAGCCCUCGACUCGAGACAUGUCUCACUUUCAUCUCCCUCUCUCUUCCGUGAGUAUUCUUCUCCGAACCCUCUCCCUAUUGAAAAAACAUGAAUGCCCUCGCUCUGAUAAGCUGUCUGGACCUCUGCCUCUCUUUCAUCUCUCUUUAUCUCUUUGUUCUCCCUGCAUCUCUCUCUCUCUCUCUCUCUCUCUCUCUCUCUCUCUCUCUCUCUCUCUCUCUCUAUGAACUUACUCCGUGGGUGUGUGACACAAUGAGCAGUUGAGCUUAGGGUGUGCGUGCUGCAAUUUCAACUCUGCUAGACUACAACUGAAGAGUGGAAGAAGAUACUUCACUCAUCACCAAGUUUGGGUGGGACUUUGCAUCCAUGAAGCCCUGUGCUACUGAGCCUGAUCUUUAUCAAUUAGGGGCUUGUGUUCGGACUUCGACUGCUGAGCUCCUCCUUUGGCAUAUUGAGGGCUACUGCCACUGCAGGGUCUUGGGAAGAUGAUCAUAAUCCGGAUGGGAAUCUUUUGUUGCGCAACACGUUGUAUAGCUCAGUCUAAGGGCUGAGAGCACCUUGGGCUGCACAUCCAUGCCAUGGGCUGAGUGUCUGAGGGCUCCCAGCAGUCUGUGCUACAGUGUAGCGCACUACAGAGUAGCCCGAUCCUCAUAAUGCAGAAGGUGCAAAUUCUACUGUUCUCAGCAACUCCAGUGGAAACAAGAUUCGUUGUUAUAGGAGAAUGGUACACCACCAAGUGCUUCACUAUCCAAUAUUCUCAUCCAAAGGCGGGAGGGACACUGUUGACUCUCUAGAGAUCAAACCAAACAUGAAUAAUAUACAGAGAAAUUGGAAAGUAAUGAAAAUAAGGCAAAUUUGAAUCAUAAUGCUUCUACUAGUGGUGUAGGGCCACGUUGCCUUAUAGGGAACCUUCUCCCUUAUUUUAAAUAAUAAUUUUAUAAUCUAAAUAAAUUAAUUAAGAGGAGACAUUGAAAAAAAUUUCGAUGACAUACACAUAUCUCUUACACA